UACAGAGGUCCCAAGCGUUGUUCGGAUUCACUGGGCGUAAAGGGUGCGUAGGCGGUCAGGUAAGUCUGAUGUGAAAUCUCUGGGCUUAACCCAGAAAUGGCAUUGGAUACUAUUUGGCUUGAGAGUUGGAGGGGGGACUGGAAUUCUUGGUGUAGCAGUGAAAUGCGUAGAUAUCAAGAGGAACACCAGUGGCGAAGGCGAGUCCCUGGACAACUUCUGACGCUGAGGCGCGAAAGCUAGGGGAGCAAACAGG
rnacentral:rRNA from 1 species